GUCCACGCCCUAAACGUUGAUUACUCGUUGUUGGCGAUAUACUGUCAGCGACCAAGCUAAAGCGUUAAGUAAUCCACCUGGGAAGUACGACCGCAAGGUUGAAACUCAAAGGAAUUGACGGGGGCCCGCACAAGCGGAGGAGCAUGUGGUUUAAUUCGAUGAUACGCGAGGAACCUUACCUGGGCUUGAAAGUUAGUGACUUUCUGUGAAAGCAGAAUUCUCUUCGGAGCACAAAACUAGGUGCUGCAUGGCUGUCGU
rnacentral:rRNA from 1 species